GCAGCAGCAGCGGCUCUCCUCUUCUCUGCUUCUCCUUGCCAUCACCCUUUCGCUUCUGGAAACAUGGCCUCUGGUGUGGCUGUCUCUGAUGGUGUCAUUAAGGUGUUCAACGACAUGAAGGUGCACAAGUCUUCAAGGCCAGAGGAAGUGAAGAAGUGCAAGAAGGCAGUGCUAUUCUGCCUGAGUGAGGACAAGAAGAACAUCAUCCUAGAGGAAGGCAAGGAGAUCCUGGUAGGUGAUGUGGGCCAGACUGUCGAUGAUCCCUACACCACCUUUGUCAAGAUGCUUCCAGACAAGGACUGCAGCUAUGCCCUCUAUGAUGCAACCUACGAAACCAAGGAGAGUAAGAAGGAGGACCUAGUGUUUAUCUUUUGGGCUCCUGAGUGUGCAUCCCUUAAGAGCAAAAUGAUUAUGCCAGCUCCAAGGACGCCAUCAAGAAGAAGCUGACAGGGAUCAAGCAUGAAUUACAAGCAAACUGCUUCGAGGAGGUCAAGGACUGCUGCACCCUGGCAGAGAAGCUGGGGGGCAGUGCUAUCUCCCUGGAGGGCAAGCCUUUGUGA